rnacentral:rRNA from 1 species
UAGGGAAUAUUGGACAAUGGGGGCAACCCUGAUCCAGCCAUGCCGCGUGAGUGAAGAAGGCCCUCGGGUUGUAAAGCUCUUUUGUCCGGAAAGAAAAGCAUUCGGUGAAUACCCGGAUGUUCUGACGGUACCGGCAGAAUAAGCACCGGCUAACUUCGUGCCAGCAGCCGCGGUAAUACGAAGGGUGCAAGCGUUACUCGGAAUUACUGGGCGUAAAGCGUGCGUAGGUGGUUGUUUAAGUCUGAUGUGAAAGCCCUGGGCUCAACCUGGGAAUGGCAUUGGAAACUGGGCAGCUAGAGUGCGGUAGAGGGUAGUGGAAGUCCCGGUGUAGCAGUGAAAUGCGUAGAGAUCGGGGGGAACAUCUGUGGCGAAGGCGACUGCCUAGACCAGCACUGACACUGAGGCACGAAAGCGUGGGGAGCAAACA